rnacentral:rRNA from 1 species
AUCGACUUAGCGGCGGACGGGUGAGUAACGCGUGGGUAACCUGCCUUACACUGGGGGAUAACAGUUAGAAAUGACUGCUAAUACCGCAUAAGCGCACAGGGCCGCAUGGUCUGGUGUGAAAAACUCCGGUGGUGUAAGAUGGACCCGCGUCUGAUUAGGUAGUUGGUGGGGUAACGGCCCACCAAGCCGACGAUCAGUAGCCGACCUGAGAGGGUGACCGGCCACAUUGGGACUGAGACACGGCCCAAACUCCUACGGGAGGCAGCAGUGGGGAAUAUUGGACAAUGGGCGAAAGCCUGAUCCAGCGACGCCGCGUGAGUGAAGAAGUAUUUCGGUAUGUAAAGCUCUAUCAGCAGGGAAGAAAAUGACGGUACCUGACUAAGAAGCCCCGGCUAACUACGUGCCAGCAGCCGCGGUAAUACGUAGGGGGCAAGCGUUAUCCGGAUUUACUGGGUGUAAAGGGAGCGUAGACGGUUAAGCAAGUCUGAAGUGAAAGCCCGGGGCUCAACCCCGGUACUGCUUUGGAAACUGUUUGACUUGAGUGCAGGAGAGGUAAGUGGAAUUCCUAGUGUAGCGGUGAAAUGCGUAGAUAUUAGGAGGAACACCAGUGGCGAAGGCGGCUUACUGGACUGUAAC